ensembl:snoRNA SNORA70 Small nucleolar RNA SNORA70
ACACAAUAAAUAAAGUGCCAGUAACUGGGUUCCUUUCCUUAUGGGUACCCAGUAUGCACUGGCUGUGAACAGCAGGUUUUUCAGUGAUGUACACAGAUGGUUGCUGGUAUGGGCUACCAUAAGGUCCUAAGAACCUUUGAGACAGCC